AUAGCCGCGGUAGCCUGACCGUGCYAAGGUAGCAUAAUMAUUUGUCUCUUAAUUAGAGGCUGGCAUGAACGAGUCAACGACACUUUCCCUAUAAUGUAAACCCUACUAUAAAUUAAUAUUUAUGUUAAAAAUCAUAAAUUUCUAGAAAGACGACAAGACCCUAUGAAACUUAAAUUCUGUAUAUUUAAAGGAUUAUUUUGGAUACAACCAGAUAAAAGAAUUUGUGCUGGGGCGGUAUCUGACUGACAACAGAAAAUUUAACUUUUUAAAGAAAUAAAAGAACUUUAAGCAAAGAUAGAAAAAGUUACUCUAGGGAUAACAGCACAAUUUUUUUAUAUAGGCCUUAUAGAAAAAAAAGACUUGUGACCUCGAUGUUGAAUUGAGGGGCCUUAUUUAAGCARAAAUAAAUAUAGGAAGUCUGUUCGACUUAUAAUACCUCA
rnacentral:rRNA from 1 species